UACGUAGGUGGCAAGCGUUGUCCCGGAUUUACUGGGCGUAAAGAGCGCGCAGGCGGUCGUCCAAGUCGCGUGUGAAAGCCCCCCGGCUCAACUGGGGAGGGUCACGCGAUACUGGUCGACUCGAAGGCAGGAGAGGGUAGUGGAAUUCCCGGUGUAGUGGUGAAAUGCGUAGAUAUCGGGAGGAACACCAGUGGCGAAGGCGACUACCUGGCCUGUUCUUGACGCUGAGGCGCGAAAGCUAGGGGAGCAAACGGGG
rnacentral:rRNA from 1 species